GACCGGCUUCCUGGGUCGUUUACCGGUUUGCUGACUGUACCUUGGUUUUUCAUGAGCAACUUGGAAAACCCCCGCUCUGCGGGAGACCUGCUGGGAAAUGUAGUCUCGCUCGACGCGGACUCCAAUCGGCACUGCAGGUCAAAGAACUACACUACCCAUCAGGUAACGCAGAUUACGAAAGCACGUUCUUGCGUACAAGGUUACUCCGAGACACGUCAGGCAAUCGGUGCGAAAGGGCUGAUGGGAGGAGGAAAGACUUCUCAGUGAGGUCGCCUUAAGGCGGAGCGGAGGAAGAUGCUUCUAUGACGUUAUUGCUGCGCGUUGGCUGCUGGGAGAAGCUGUGCAGCUGCAGACUUUGGUGAGUCUCCAAGGGAAUAGAAAUUAAGAGGCACCCACCUGGAUGGAACUCUUCCCUCUUGAUUCCUUGUAGUCCAGACUAGGUGCACACAGGUUUUAAAGGAGCGUUUCUAGUUGAUAUUAGAGGCUGUGCUCAAAUGUGGAGCGAGGCUGUUUCAGGCUUCCCAGAUGUUACAGAGAAAAGACUAUGUUAAAGGAGUGUUGCGCUUGUUUUCUCUGCACGGAAUUCUACACCCCCAACAUCCAUGUCAUGUGUAGAGUGGGAUACUAUUUCUAUCUUUAGUA